rnacentral:miRNA from 1 species
AGCGUUUGGGUUCUGAAAAAUG